rnacentral:rRNA from 1 species
AUGGCGCGCUUGAACCUCGAGCACGAGUUCGAGGAGAGGCUGGAGUUGAUCCGGGCCGAGGCUGAAGGUAGGACUGCUGCCUUGAGGGCCAAGCUGGAGGAAGCGACGCGGCGGGCCGAUGCUUUUCGGGCCGCCCUUGAGGUAGCGCAAGGGGAGUCAACCACCUCUGAGGCCGAGGUGCUCCUUCUUCGCCAGCGGGUGGAGGAGGCUGAGGUCGUCGCGCGCCAGAAUGCGGACGAGAUACGUCAGCGGCGGAUCCUGGAGCAUGAGCACGGCCCCAUGCUCACCACGCUCCGGGAGAGAGCCAACACAGCCUUGGGCAACAUCUGCGAGGCGGCUGUUGGCGAGCCGCACGCAGUCAACUACGCCGGCAACCUUCAGUUCUUCACCGACGUGAUGACGCAGGUAGAGGCACGGUCGGUCAGGGCCGACAGGUUGGUGGAGGAGAGGAGCCGCACCCUGCUCGGGCGCGCCUUUUCUCGCGUCUUUAGCUAUCUCCGGAACAUGGAUCCCCACUUCGAUUUCGACGCCGCCAUCGCCCCAGUCCCCCAGGCCGUCCGAGACGACCUGGCGCACUGGAUGGAAGACAAUGUGGAUGCUCUUGUUAGGGCCCUCGCUUCAGACAACGACGGCGUGAUCGUGGCUGCCGACGAAGGCGGUGUGGUGAACGGCCCUGACGCCGCUGGCGGCGAUGCAGACAGCGAUGGCGAGUUCAGCGACGCCAGCAACGGUUCGGGUGGUGCUCCUGAGGACGCAUUGGGGGAUUUAUCCGACUGA